rnacentral:tRNA from 1 species
UGCGCCCAUGAUGUAGUGGCAGCCUUCCUGCUUGCCAUGCAGGGUGUGUCGGUUCGAUUCCGGCUGGGCGCAU